GGAGUCCCUGGAGCAUCUGGAGACCUUCAAGCGGGAGAACAAGAACCUUCAGGAGGAGAUCUCCGACCUGACUGAGCAGCUGGGUUCCAGUGGAAAAACCAUCCACGAGCUGGAGAAGGUCCGCAAGCAGCUGGAGGCUGAGAAGCUGGAGCUGCAGUCGGCCCUGGAGGAGGCUGAGGCCUCCCUGGAGCACGAGGAGGGCAAGAUCCUGCGGGCCCAGCU